CGUUGUCACUCCUGAUGCUGCUGCAGUGGAUGACUUGUGGCCACAAUUGCUUCUUCUGUUUCGCUUUUUCUUUGGACACCUCAUUAGGUACACCAGAAUAAAGGCGUACAUAAAAAGAUCAUAUGCCAAAAUAACCCACUAGACCGCCGCGCGCGCAGGUUUUAGUAAUCAGCAAAAUGACAGCUAAGUUUCAGGAAAAUAUCCGUUCCUGACUAAAAAAUUGAGAAAAAUGCAUUACAUUACAGUACAAAUACAUUUCAAGCAUUAGAGCCCUCUAAAUUUGAAAUAACACCCCCAUCGUCACUUCACCAACGACCAUUCACACUCACAUUCAUACCUAUGGACAAUUUGGAGUCGGCAAUUAACCUAGCAUGUUUUUGGAAUGUGGGAGGAAACCGGAGUACCCGUAGAAAACCCACGCAUGCACGGGGAGAACAUGCAAAGUCAAGGGUGGAAUUGAACCCUGGUCUCCUAGCUGUGAGGUCUGCAUGCUAACCACUAGAUCGCCGUGCAGCCCCCCGUCUUUCAUCAGAAAAAAAGGUUUAGUAAUCAGCAAAAUAACAUAGCCAAGUUUCAGGAAAAUAUCCGUUCCUGACUAAAAAAAAAAUACAUUACAUUACAAUACAUUUCAAGCAUUAGAGCCCUCUAAAUUUGAAAUAACACCCCCAUAGUCACUUUACCAAACAACCAUUCACACUCACAUUCAUACCUAUGGACAAUUUGGAGUCGCCAAUUAACCUAGCAUGUUUUUGGAAUUUCUCCCCAUGCUUCUUCUGCUGCUCUUGUUUUUCGCUUUUUCUUUGGACACCUCAUUAGGUACACCAGAAUAAAGGCGUACAUAAAAAGAUCAUAUGCCAAAAUAACACAUUUCCAAUCAUUCAUUCAUUCAUUUUCUACCGCUUUUGAGUACAAAAAGGGUCGCGGGGGGUGUUGGAGCCUAUCCCAGCUGUCUUAGGGUGAGAGGCAGGGCACACCCUAGAUUGGUCGCCAGCCCAUCACAUGACACAUAUAGACAAACAACCAUUCACACUCACACCACUAGUCUAACCACUAGACCGCCGCGCAAAUGUGCAAAUGUUGCCAUUGUUUAACACGAGAAUACAACAUUCUAAGUACAUUUAUAGCUCAGAAAAGUGGAACAAACAUAAUAGGUCCCCAUUAAUAUGCAUAUUUAAAAAAAUAAUUAAUUAAUUAAACUAAUUUAAUUAAUUAAAAAUACAAUUGAGUGAGGGCGCAAUGUUUAAAUCGUGUUGUGGAGAGGGACAACCUAUAGCAGGGGUCGGGAACCUUUUUGACUAAGAGAGCCAUGAAGGCCAGAUAUUUUAAAAUGUGUAUCUGUGAGAGCCAUAUACAUUUUUUUAAACAUUGAAUGCAAUAAAAUGUGUGCAUUUUUAUGUAAGACCAACAGUUUUAGAUAUAAUGGGCUCUAAUUAUGUAGACCAGGCACACUACCCCACGCCAAUGGGGUGUGGCCAGCACACUUGCUGCCAUUAAUGCAACUUCUGCUGCUGCAUAGUUUUGAACCGUAUUCAGUACACGUAUUUCAUUCUUUUGGCCAUCUUCACCAGAAGGCUUGGUUCUGCAGCUUUAGCUAUUUGACUAAAGGAGGAAAGUUUACAUUUACAUGUUUUUUUGACAUCUCAAUGACCGAGGUAGACUACAGCAUUACCCAGUAAUAAUCAAGUUUUGGUGUUUGACCUGGAAAAUAUCAUCAGGAAAGGUUGGCCGUAUUGCAGCAGAAUAUAGAUGGACGAAUUAAAAUGCAUAAGAAAGUUGUUGAUUUUUAAUAUUAUUUUUAACAGUCAUUUCUGUGAUGGUUUACUUUAAAAUGUUAGCAAAAAUGCAUUUUUAUUGUGGUAAGAAAUGCUUGAGAGCCAGAUACAGUCAUCAAAAGAGCCCUACCUGGCUCCCGAGCCAUAGGUUCCCUACCUCUGACCUAUAGGGUCCCAAAAGUUGGACUGUACCAUUUUCUGGUGUGGGUGUAAUAUCCCAUUCUAACUAAAACUUCACAUAAAUUAAUUAAAAUAUACUGUACCUCAACUCAUGAGAAUUCUAAUUUGAGAUAUAUAUUAAUUAAAAAAACCUUACAAUUAAGCAAUUCUUAGCUCAAAGUAUUCAAUUUGAACGGCAACCACCUCUUCUCCCCUGGAUUGAGUACACUUCCUGAUUCCCCUGUCAUGUGAUCUGCUUCACUUCCUGCGAUAGCAGCAACAGGUGUGAAAUUAAAAUGAGGACUUUUUGCCUAAUUAAUAACGUUCUAUUUAGUACUAUGACUUUCUCCUGGAUGUACGAACCUUCACAGCUUGUUUUGCUAACGUUUGUGUCAUGUAACACUCACGGAAAGGAUUGUUUUUCAACAUUUGACCUCGAUGCCAAACGACUGACAGGCAGCUCAGAACAUCUGCCAACCUCUGGCCACGAUGGAGACGGUGGAGGCGGUGGACUGUUUGAAGCAUCUUUCUGCUCAAGUCGUUAGCUGCUUUCUCAAUGAGAAAUACUUCCAGCACAGCUCAGCACUUCGGAGACGAGGAGAAGAAGCAAGCACCCCCCCUCACCCUCCAGUCUUCCCAUGGGCCCACAGGAGAUGAUAAGGUGAUGUCAUACCUCCGCUUCCUGGG